GACGGACGCUGGCGGCGUGCUUAACACAUGCAAGUCGAACGGAAAGGCCCCAGCUUGCUGGGGUACUCGAGUGGCGAACGGGUGAGUAACACGUGGGUGAUCUGCCCUGCACUCUGGGAUAAGCCUGGGAAACUGGGUCUAAUACCGGAUAGGACCGUGCUUUAGUGUGUGCGGUGGAAAGUUUUUCGGUGCAGGAUGAGCCCGCGGCCUAUCAGCUUGUUGGUGGGGUAAUGGCCUACCAAGGCGGCGACGGGUAGCCGGCCUGAGAGGGUGGACGGCCACAUUGGGACUGAGACACGGCCCAGACUCCUACGGGAGGCAGCAGUGGGGAAUAUUGCACAAUGGGCGCAAGCCUGAUGCAGCGACGCCGCGUGGGGGAUGACGGCCUUCGGGUUGUAAACCCCUUUCGGCAGGGACGAAGCUUUUGUGACGGUACCUGCAUAAGAAGCACCGGCUAACUACGUG
rnacentral:rRNA from 1 species